rnacentral:rRNA from 1 species
CCUACGGGAGGCAGCAGUGAGGAAUAUUGGUCAAUGGCCGGAAGGCUGAACCAGCCAUGCCGCGUGAAGGUCAGUGCUCUAUGGGCGUUAAACUUCUUUUGUGCGGGAGCAAUAAUGGUCACGUGUGGCCAGACGAGAGUACCGUACGAAUAAGCAUCGGCUAACUCCGUGCCAGCCGCCGCGGUAAUACGGGGGAUGCAAGCGUUAUCCGGAUUUAGUGGGUUUAAAGGGUGCGUAGGCUGUGAGGUAAGUCAGCGGUGAAAUGCCCCCGAUCAACGGGGUGAAGUGCCAUUGAAACUGGCUUGCUUGAAUGCGGAUGACGUGGGAGGAAUGUGUGGUGUAGCGGUGAAAUGCAUAGAUAUCACACAGAACACCGAUUGCGAAGGCAUCUCACGAAUCCGCGAUUGACGCUGAGGCACGAAAGCGUGGGUAUCAAACAGGAUUAGAUACCCGAGUAGUC